AGUGACCUCGAUCAGG
rnacentral:rRNA from 1 species